CGCGGAAUCCUAGAGAUAGGACGUCCCCUUCGGGGGCAGAGUGACAGGUGGUGCAUGGUUGUCGUCAGCUCGUGUCGUGAGAUGUUGGGUUAAGUCCCGCAACGAGCGCAACCCUUGAUCUUAGUUGCCAGCAUUCAGUUGGGCACUCUAAGGUGACUGCCGGUGACAAACCGGAGGAAGGUGGGGAUGACGUCAAAUCAUCAUGCCCCUUAUGACCUGGGCUACACACGUGCUACAAUGGACAGAACAAAGGGCAGCGAAACCGCGAGGUUAAGCCAAUCCCACAAAUCUGUUCUCAGUUCGGAUCGCAGUCUGCAACUCGACUGCGUGAAGCUGGAAUCGCUAGUAAUCGCGGAUCAGCAUGCCGCGGUGAAUACGUUCCCGGGCCUUGUACACACCGCCCGUCACACCACGAGAGUUUGUAACACCCGAAGUCGGUGAGGUAACCUUUUAGGAGCCAGCCGCCGAAGGUGGGACAGAUGAUUGGGGUGAAGUCGUAAAGGGUAAACCCGUA
rnacentral:rRNA from 1 species